CUGAAGAACCCAAAAGAUCGAAUGGGGAGAUUCAUCGUCAACAACGCUGGCUCCCGUUGGUGCGCGAUGCCCCGGAUGGAACCUUCGGGUUUCAUUAGCGAGGGCACACCACCUUCGGCGAACGUUCCGGCGAAGUAGUCGUGCACUUCUCCCCUAGUAGAACGUCGCGACCCGUUGCGUGUCGGUCUACGGUCCGAGGCGGAGCCUGUCCGUCGCCUUGGCGCGUUCGUGACAGACCCUCGGUUACCCGGCCGACUGCGCGACGGUACUCAAACGGUAUCGGGCCGCAACCAAUCCAUUUUCGAAUGUGUGUGCGUCAGGACCGCCGCAAGCUCGGUUCAGUAUACCCCCGGAUGCACGGACUAUGCGCCGUCCCCGGGCCUGGCCAGCUGUUAGCAGGCGGAGUCCUUGGACUGGCCAAGCUUCGAAUUACCGGUCGGCGACGCUAUUGCUUUGGGUACUCUCAGGACCCGUCUUGAAACACGGACCAAGGAGUCUAACAUGUGCGCGAGUCAUUGGGAUAUAUAAAACCUAAAGGCGAAAUGAAAGUGAAAGUCGUCCUUUGCGUCGACCUAGGGAGGAUGGGCCUCGUUACGAUUAGGCCUCGCACUCCCGGGGCGUCUCGUUCUCAUUGCGAGGAGAGGCGCACCCAGAGCGUACACGUUGGGACCCGAAAGAUGGUGAACUAUGCCUGGUCAGGACGAAGUCAGGGGAAACCCUGAUGGAGGUCCGUAGCGAUUCUGACGUGCAAAUCGAUCGUCGGAACUGGGUAUAGGGGCGAAAGACUAAUCGAACCAUCUAGUAGCUGGUUCCCUCCGAAGUUUCCCUCAGGAUAGCUGGCACUCGUUCUAACACGUGCGAGUCUCAUCUGGUAAAGCGAAUGAUUAGAGGCCUUGGGGCCGAAACGACCUCAACCUAUUCUCAAACUUUAAAUGGGUGAGAUCUCUGGCUUGCUUGGAUCAAAUGAAGCCAGAGAUUUUGGAUCAGAGUGCCAAGUGGGCCAAUUUUGGUAAGCAGAACUGGCGCUGUGGGAUGAACCAAACGCAGAGUUAAGGCGCCUAAGUCGACGCUCAUGGGAUACCAUGAAAGGCGUUGGUUGCUUAAGACAGCAGGA
rnacentral:rRNA from 1 species